UCUUCCGCAAUGGACGAAAGUCUGACGGCGCAACGCCGCGUGAGUGAUGAAGGUUUUCGGAUCGUAAAGCUCUGUUGUUAGGGAAGAACAAGUACCGGUCGAAUAGGGCGGUAGCUUGGCGGUACCUAACCAGAAAGCCACGGCUAACUACGUGCCAGCAGCCGCGGCAAUACGUAGGUGGCAAGCGUUGUCCGGAAUUAUUGGGCGUAAAGGGCUCGCAGGCGGUUUCUUAAGUCUGAUGUGAAAGCCCCCGGCUCAACCGGGGAGGGUCAUUGGAAACUGGGGAACUUGAGUGCAGAAGAGGAGAGUGGAAUUCCACAUGUAGCGGUGAAAUGCGUAGAGAUGUGGAGGAACACCAGUGGCGAAGGCGACUCUCUGGUCUGUAACUGACGCUGAGGAGCGAAAGCGUGGGGAGCGAACAGG
rnacentral:rRNA from 1 species